rnacentral:rRNA from 1 species
GAUGAACGCUGGCGGCGUGCCUAAUACAUGCAAGUCGAGCGAACGGACGAGAAGCUUGCUUCUCUGAUGUUAGCGGCGGACGGGUGAGUAACACGUGGAUAACCUACCUAUAAGACUGGGAUAACUUCGGGAAACCGUAGCUAAUACCGGAUGAUAUUUUGAACCGCAUGGUUCAAAAGUGAAAGACGGUCUUGCUGUCACUUAUAGAUGGAUCCGCGCUGCAUUAGCUAGUUGGUAAGGUAACGGCUUACCAAGGCAACGAUGCAUAGCCGACCUGAGAGGGUGAUCGGCCACACUGGAACUGAGACACGGUCCAGACUCCUACGGGAGGCAGCAGUAGGGAAUCUUCCGCAAAGGGCGAAAGCCUGACGGAGCAAAGCCGCGUGAGUGAUGAAGGUCUUCGGAUCGUAAAACUCUGUUAUUAGGGAAGAACAUAUGUGUAAGUAACUGUGCACAUCUUGACGGUACCUAAUCAGAAAGCCACGGCUAACUACGUG